rnacentral:tRNA from 1 species
GGGCAGGUGGCGGAAUUGGUAGACGCGCUGGGUUUAGAACCCAGUGCUGACAAGGCGUGAGGGUUCGAAUCCCUCCCUGCCCA